rnacentral:rRNA from 1 species
AUUGAACGCUGGCGGAAUGCUAUACACAUGCAAGUCGAACGGCAGCACGGACUUCGGUCUGGUGGCGAGUGGCGAACGGGUGAGUAAUGUAUCGGAACGUGCCCAGUCGGGGGGGAUAACGUAGUGAAAAUUACGCUAAUACCGCAUACGAUCUAUGGAUGAAAGCGGGGGAUCGCAAGACCUCGCGCGAUUGGAGAGGCCGAUAUCAGAUUAGGUAGUUGGUGGGGUAAAGGCCCACCAAGCCAACGAUCUGUAGCUGGUCUGAGAGGACGACCAGCCACACUGGAACUGAGACACGGUCCAGACUCCUACGGGAGGCAGCAGUGGGGAAUUUUGGACAAUGGGCGAAAGCCUGAUCCAGCCAUUCCGCGUGCAGGAUGAAGGCCCUCGGGUUGUAAACUGCUUUUGUACAGAACGAAAAGGUUUCUACUAAUACUAGGAGCUCAUGACGGUACUGUAAGAAUAAGCACCGGCUAACUACGUGCCAGCCGCCGCCGUAA